rnacentral:rRNA from 1 species
GAGCAAGUGUGUCGUCUAGGUAGAGGCGGCGGUGGGCUGUGUCGUCUAGCUUGAGGCGGCGGCGGGCUAGCGUGCGGGCUAGGAGGGGAUGCGGGUCAGGUGCCGCCUAGGUAGGGACACGGCGCGGCGCCGCCUAGGUAGUGCAAAAAGUGGCUGCUCCAUGCCCUAGCGGCGGCGGCUGGAAGGAGUUAGAAAACAGAUCCCAAGGGGCGGAGGCGGCGGCGGCGGCUGCCGCGGUAGCGCCUUGGAGUCCCGUCCAGUCCAGAGGUUCGUCGAGCACGAACACACCUCAGCGGCGUGAGGCGUGUCGCGACGGCGCCGCCUAGGGGCCCCGGCGGCGGCGGCAACUUGGGGUACCUGCUUCGGCAGGGUGCUUGCUGGCUACGUCCGUGGUGUUGUUGUCGAGCAAUGGCUGUCUUAUAGUCCCCGCGUCUACUACAUGUCCUAGUAGAGCAGGUACGGUACCUUGUUUCGGUGGACGAACUGCUCGAGGUUUGUCUCCAUUCCGAACUACGGGGUGACCUAGGUGAAGUCUUUUCCCACAACUGACAAGACUUAAUUCGGUUUGUACUUUAGACUAACUCCAUCCCUACUUCGAGAAUAAAACGUAUCAUAAAAAUCCGUUAAAGUCUUAAAUGCAUUGUAUAUAUACAGGGAUCUAAUCUAUCAUACGUACGGGAGACAUUGGACGACUUACAGAGAACCCAUUGAUUUUUAUAAGUCUUAUUAGAUUUAAAGUCUUUAAGAAGUACCUAAUACUUACCGUCAAUAUACGGUGGUCUAUCGUUCUAACGAUGAACUUGUUAAACAAUAGACACUUCGAAUCCGCAAUCUGCUUGAUUUAAACGAUAGUAAAAGGUGGUAAAUAUAAAUAAGGAUUCCGGUAGUCUCGGUAAUUCUGUGAACGCGACGGGAUUCCCUCAGGACAAUGGGAAAAAAAUCAGUUACUGGGUGGUCAGUGGUGUUCACGUUUACCAAUCAAAUGAUUUUAAGUUACUGUCAUAUAUAAAUGAGGACAAAUAAACGUGCAUACCAAAGAGUUAAAGUGAAGAGUUGUACCAUAAACGUUGAAUUAGUAAUGAGUUGGCUGGACGAAAACCAUAUGAAAAAAUGUUCAUAUUAUUUUUUUCCCGUUGGACCACGUACAUCGAGGGCGAACGCGUCCCAGGUCCCUUCCCAGGCUGGUGAAACCCAGAUAUCAUGCGUCGGAAAGAGAUGUAAAGACAUUCUCCGACAAAGGUCCUGAACUUGGGUACUGGAGUACCAGUGUUCCGUCGUCGAAAUGGUGACGCGGUUCCGAGGGGAAGAAAAUGUUCAUAUUAGUGUAAUUCUAUAUAAUGACAUAGGGGGGAUUUUUUCCAUAUAAUGAUAUUAAAUCAUCCCGCGAGUAAGCUAAGUGUUUUGUUUAAAAUGUGCUCUAACAUACUCGAAGACGUAUAGACGUGGAUAUAAUCUUAGUCUAGUUUGAGGAUGUAAAUGAUUAUAUCAACUACGGGGAAUUUUACUAACUUUGUUGUAACAAUACGUACUAAUAGCUAUUGAGUCCGUGAGUCGACUAAUCCGUCAUUUACCACUGAUAUGGUACAUUCUACGUAAAAGGGAAGUCUUACAUUGUACACAAAAAUACUUAAAAACCUACGCUUUGGUAAACGUGUGAUCGUACGUAUGCGGGACAGUUGCUUUUAUUAUUUUACUAAGUCGUGUUAGCGUUCUAUAGUCAUCAAGUCGUGUGGUACCAUCGUGUACGUACCGGGUGGUACAUGAGAGUGAUGAUUGUGGUAUCAGUUAAGUUCGCUGGAUAACGAUCCUUCACGUACUCGACUACGAUCGUACGGGACUGUUUUGUACUUUUUUGAACAAGAGAUUACAUAGAUGGUGGACUCUCUAACAAAGCUAUGUUAAUAACAUAAAUUCUUUUAUUAAUGGUCCAAGAGACUACAUCAUCAAGUGUCCAAGAGACUACGUUCCCGAGACCCAGUAGUCGAAGCCGUUCACCUCUAUGUUCAAGCCCGUGCUGCUCGAAAUAAAGCAUUUUUGCGCUGAAACUACAAACUUAGAAGGAAGAUUAGAAAAAUUACUAUUUCUCCGAGAGAAUUAUCUUACACUUAAAAGGGAAACAAACAAUCGAAAAUACGAAAUAACACAAGAAGCAGUUUGUUUUUAGCGAUGUCUGUCCCUGACCGUACCUGUAGCACCUGAAAGUGUUGUGCCGGACGUCGUGUCAAGGUUGCACGAGACGAGGAGCCUGAGACAGACAGACAUGUUGUAGUUGUUGUCGGACUACCAACGGAGGCCCGGUACCGUACCGUCCUGUACGUCCAAGGAUAAGUUACCUCUGUAUACCUCCGCGACCGGACAGCGUGCGAGCGACCUGUGUGUACUCGUCGGUGUACCACUGACAGAAGUGCCCUCAAAAGAAAGAGGGUUCUCGCGGUCGACGGACUUCCCUGUUUUGAUACCUCCCCGCCACUUCUCUACUACAACUUCAUGAUGCACACUACCUACUUUACGACGACUCUGCAAUGUUCUAUAAGGUCGUCUCCGUAGGAAUGGCAGGCGUAAUGUUCCUAUACUCUUGUAACCCCAGGACUUCCGUCACUGGACAAAUGGUAUGUGUAUAAAUGAAGGAAAGAUCCCGCCUUGUUACCUUCCGUGUUAAGGUUCAUGUUGAGAAGUUCUUGUCCUAGAGCCUUCCUUGUUGUUAAAUGUUCGAACCGCGAAUGGUCCAAGUAAUACGAUCCCUUUCUAUGUUUUGACAUCUAACAGGUACCUCUCAUCACAAACGGGUUUUUUGAUGGCACCUUGGUUAACACGGAGUCGGUGGUUUGAAAGGGUUCAUACCUAUAUGGUGGAUGUUACAUGUGUCAUAGUUUCGGCGUAAUUUGUUUAACAAAACAACAGUCCAGUCGGUGAGAAUUCUUAACAAAAAUAACAUAUUAAAAGGUGAAGAAUGUUGAAUGUUAAAUGACUUGAACACUUACAACCUAAUCAAUGGUCGUAGUGUUCUUAUAAACGCGGCUCGCCGCCUAGCUAACUGGUCUAUACUCUUUUAGUGUAGUGUUUGCACACGGUUGAAAAUAGUAAAAAGUAAGACACAAGAAUAGAGAAGUGACUUUGUUACUAUAUAGAAAGGUCUUACGGGCGGCAACACUGCAAAACCCCUUUUAAUCGUCUAAGGGAACUACGUCUGUUUCGAUGUUGCCACCUUUGAACCGGAGGUUCAGGACAGACCGUUGAGCUACCAUGUAUUUAGAUUGAUAAAGACUUCGCCGUUGAUAAGAUCCUUCUAGAUGACGUUCUAGGGUAGUUUAACUCUAUUCGUGGCCGAGUGUCCCAGUAGCGAUCCGUUGUUUAUGUUGUUAGUGUAUUAAUAGUCGGCAACUGGGACCACCUUAGUACCUGGUCAUGAUAUAUGACCUUUAUUUCUCUUGACUUCACAGGGGAAGGUACCGUAACCCCCCGGAAAGAGACGGUCCGCACCGCCGAGGAACCAUCCUACUACGUCGACCGAGCCGCCUCCGAUCCUGUGUAAUGUUCGGGGGAGUGGGUGGGGCUGCUCUUCCCGCCGUUCUGCUGUUGACGAACGACUAAAAAUAGCAACGUAUUUAUACGAAUAAAAAUGUAACGAACAGCGACUCGACCUCUACCUUUCUUGGUUAGAAUGAUAUGACAACACACUCUUUAUAAUCAGACGUUUAACUAAUGAUUAGGGAGGCAGAGUUUUAUUCACUGAGUUGAAACAUGAUCGAAAUCAUGUUUCAACUCAGUGAAUAAAACGCUACCUCCCUCAUAAAAGAUAGGAAACCACUUUACUGGUCCUCGUUCGUUCUACCACGGUUAUGAACGCUCUACUAUCACAUCAACCGGAACUGAAGGAAAAGACCAGGAUUGGUUAAAAUCUCUUGUCACAUUACAAAAAAUAACAAAUAAUAGGAGCCGCGUAUGUUUUUUAAUGAACUCAGAGUCCAUCGGUCCAACGUAAUAGUGGUAGAAUGUUUAUAAACAACACGUCCAGACUCGACACACGUUCCUUCGAGUUCUGUAACCCCCUUUCGUAACAACCUAUACACCAUAGGACUGGGAGAAUGAACCCUGAACCUAUUCAAUGUUAGAAUGUACAAGACUCAAGACAUGAGGGUACAUGAACCCAAGUUCUUAAAUAGAACUGUAAUAAAAUUUAAAAGAGAUUCUACACGUAUAGUGGCGACUUAAAAAACGUUAUAUAUUUAAGUCACAAUGACACUUGUGAACUUGUUAUGUAUGUCUACACACCUUACUCUAACAAGAUAUGACUCCUGACAUCAAAUGACUACAUAUAAUAAUUAUUCGAGGAUUAUUUAUACUAAACGGUUUUUUGUUUAACGCGUAUGUUCUCAGUCGAUCCAUUCAUACUAAAUUAUCCAAUGACUUCUAAACGCUACUUAUUUUUACCGUGCCAGUCGAUCCAUUUAGAGUAACUCAAAAUGUGUUACUCUACGUAUCUUUAUUAACAAGAAGGAACAAGUAUACAACGUGUAUUAUUAUGUUUUCCAAAUAAAGAUACAUACAAAUAAAAACGUCUCAUGUAUAGUCUCUACCGCUCCCUAAUACAGCUACAAGUUUUUCUUAGUAUAACAUGUUCCCAGGGCUCCGUUACAGCAACCUUC